rnacentral:lncRNA from 1 species
CAGACUGCUUUUACCGAGGUAAAAGAUAUCCAUUCGGAUUUGUUUUCCGAGUGGGCUGUAAAUUAUGUCGCUGUGCAAGUCGGAGGAGAGUAAAGUGCAAAAGAGUGUUCUGUUAACCUAAAGACAAAUGGUAAUUCUCUGCUACUAAGACACAUAUUUUAACAUUUCACAAUUUUAAUCCUUACCGUUACUUUUUCAUUUUUUUUUCUUGCCAUCCAUUUUGUUUUUAUUUCUUCCUUUCAAUUUCCAAUUUCAUUCGACUUUCUUUCUGCCAUUCAAUUUUCGUUCUUUCUUUUUCCUCUUUCAUUUCUUCCAUCCCUCUCUCUCUCUCUCUCUCUCUCUCUCUCUCUCUCUCUCUCUCUCUCUCUCUCCUUCAUUCUUUCUCUCUUUCUGUCUAUUUAUCUUUCACUUUCUUUCAUUCUUCUUACUCUCUUUAUUUUUUCUUUCUUUCUCUCAAUCUAUUUUUCAAUCUCUUGUCUCUCUUUCCUUUUUUCUUUUUUUUUCCUUCUUUCCUUCAUUUUUUCUCUAUUUUUCUUUUUCUUUUUCGUUUAAUGUUUUAUAUAUCUUAUCACUCUCUCUCUCUCUCUCUUUCCUUUCUUCUCUCUUUCCUUUCUUCUUUCUUGCCUUUUUCACUCAUCCUCUUCUUCCUCUAUCCUCCUCUUUAUUUUUCCUUUCUUAUUCCCUUUCUUAUUUUCAUUAUUUCUGUCUUUGAUAAGGCCGUGAACUGGCAGAAUCGUUAGCACGACGGUCAAAAUGCUCAACAGCAUUUCGUCCGUCUUUACAUUCUGAGUUCAAAUUCCGCUGAGGUCGACUUUGCCUUUCAUCAUUUCGGAGUCGAUAAAAUAAGUACCAGUUAAACACUGGGGUCGAUGUAAUCCACUUGCCUCCGCCCACGAAAUGGCUGGCCUUGUGCCAAACUUGAAACCGUUAUCUCUGUUUUCGAAGUAGUAAGCCGACAGAAUCUUUAGCAUGGUAGAUAAGACGUUCAGCAGUAUUUCUCCUAGUUUACAUCCUGAGUUCGAAUCCCAUCAAAGUCAACUUCGCUUUUCUUCUUUCUGGGGUCGAUGUGAUCUAAUAGCACCCUCCCCUCCACCACCCAAAAUUUCAUGACCUUGCAGGUGAGGCCCAGUUAGAAUUUCAUUCUGGUCGAGUAGCCCAUCCCGCUCAAAAGGUCCCUGAAUGAGGGUUGUUUAAGGAUGUUGAAUGAAACACCCAUGUUUCCAAAGGGAAAUUAUUCAAACCCCAAAGAAUCUCAACACAUGGCUAUGAUGCUCCCCCACUACUUCUGCUCGUGGUCAGAGAUGCACGUAUCGUCAGCCACUAAGGGACAUGCUCAACUGGUUAAGGUCAAACAACUGACAAGCAAAUCUGUGGUAUUGAGCAGAAUAUUUGCUGUAGCCCAUCUUUUAUACCAAGACAAAACAAUGUACAUGAUAACACUUCCAAUCAGUUAAGAUCAUAAGCCACGAGAGCCACUGCCUGGUACUGCAUCAGGGCAUUUAUUAUUAUUAUUAUUAUUAUUAUUAUUAUUAUUAUUAUUAUUAUUAUUAUUAUUAUUAUUAUUAUUAUUAUUAUUAUUAUUAUUCUAUGUUUGACUUUUGCUUUAUAUUUGUACAAGUUGGCUCCAAGUCUCACCCAGAGACCUCAAGAGACAACAGGUUGGAAGUUCGUGUUGUUGUUAUGCCUAGUGUGCCAUAUAUUUGGUUUUGUAUUUAGUGUUGUACUAGUGAAUGUCUAAAAAAAACAUACGAAAAUUAUGUUUGUUUUAAAACUUGAGAUUGCAUAGAAAGUAUUUUGCGUAGGAUAUGGGCAGUUCCCAUGAGCAUUAUCUUUUGAAUUUCUGCCAUUUUUGGGGUUUCCUGGUAUCUGAGCUAGGUAGCAAUCAGCCUCUUUUGCUAUCAUUCCCAGGAUACCUAUGAUAAUAGGUAUUGUUUUAGUCUUCAGGUUCCACAUUUUGCUGAUUUCUAUUUCAAGAUCUUUAUAUUUGCUCAGUUUUUGGUAUUAUGAUUAUUAUUAUUAUUAUUAUUAUUAUUAUUAUUAUUAUUACUUUUUUCCUCUUUCAAAUUUGCUUCCAUUUCUUGCCGAGUGUCUUCCCGACUCCUAGGGCAAAGAAACUCAUAGUAUACAUUGGUAGGCCAUUACACUAAACUCAAUAGUUCGUUCAUUUUUUUUUUAAGUUAAAUUAAAAUACAUGGGUAGUAAUAAUUCUCACAUCGACAAUGCUCUUCUCAAUACGUGUGAUGUACCAGUUAAGACAAUCUUUUGCACUUCUUGCAGGGAUGGUAAGCCAGGGAUCAUUCUCAUAUAAUUUUCGGUUCCCUUCUUGAUCAUUCCUAGUGCUCCUACGAUCACUGGUAUUGUAACCGCCUUGAGAUGCCACAUUUUCUCAAUUUCAAUGAGUAGGUCUUUAUAUUUUCUGAGCUUGUCAAACUCUUUCGCUGAGAUAUUAUGAUCACAGGGGAUGCUCAUGUCGAUCAAUAAGCAAACUUUAUUGUUUUGGUCUUUCACAACAAUAUCUGGUUUAUUGGCCUUGAUGGUUCGGUCUGUAUGUACUGGAAAGUCCCACAGAAUGGUUACAUUUUUUUCUUCAGUUACAGCCUCAGGGUGGUGAUUAUACCACUUGUCGGCAGUUUUGAUAUUGUAAUGCCGACUUAUUAGCCAGUGUAGAUAUUGGCCAACUCUGUCAUGUCUUAAUUUAUACUCCACUGGUGCUAAGACUUUACAUCCAGAGAUUAGGUGGUCCACUGUUUCAAUCAUGUCGUUGCAGAAUCGGCAUUUUGGGUCUGCUCCAUUUUUCAUCACAUUGGCCUGGUAGUUCCGGGUUAAUAGGCUUUGAUAUUGAGCAGCCAGGAUGAAACCUUCGCUCUCUGCUUUUAGCCCUGAGCUCCGUAGCCACUGAUGGGUUUGCUUCUGGUCAACAUCAGCUUGUUUGCUGCGGGCCACAUAUUUGCCGUGCAGAGGUUUCUCCUCCCACCUAUCAGCCAAUUGCUCGUGCGCUUUUUUCGUUGCCAUUAUUUUCACCUUUUUUGCAACAAUAGUUGCCAUACUUCCCUUGGUUUGUUCAGUUUGGUUAUCCUGCACGAGAUCAAUAGCAAAUUUUUUGCUUUCCUUUAUGAUAGAAUGUUAUUAUUAUUAUUAUUCUGUUUGACUUUUGCUUUAUGUCUGUACAAGUUGGCUCCAAGUCUCACUCAGAGACCUCAAGAGACAACUGGUUGGAAGUUCUGUGCCAUAUAUUUGGGGGGGGGUGUUGUACUAGUGAAUGUCUAAUACAUAAAAAUAAAAUUAAAAAUUUUAAAAAAAAUUUUAAAAUAAUAUUAUUAUUAUUAUUAUUAUUAUUAUUAUUAUUAUUAUUAUUAUUAUUAUUAUCGUUAUUAUUAUUAUUAUUAUUAUUAUUAUUAUUAUUAUUAUUAUUAUUAUUAUUAUUAUUAUUAUUAUUAUUAUUAUUCAGUAGUUUUAUUUUUAUAGCGUGCUUUCACUUCACUACCGAGCACAGCUCUGUGUGCCUUGGGUAUGUGCUGUGAUUUGUUGUGAUGCUCUGAUGGUUAUUGUAUGGAAAGUGUUCUGCGUAGGAUGUGUGCAGUGCCUAGUAGUGCAAUUUUCUGUAUGUUAUAUGUGUUUGUAAGUCCUGGUGUUUUUGUUAUGUAUUUGUCUGAAUAUUUUUUUAUCAUGCCUAAUGCACCUACUAUGAUAGGAAUUGUUUCUGUUUUCAGAUUCCACAUUCUAGUUACCUCUAUUUCCAGGUCUUUGUAUUUUGAGGGUUUCUCCAUUUCUUUUAGAGACACGUUGUCAUCAGCCGGUAUUGAUACAUCAAUUAGAAAGCAUUUUUUUCUUCAUGAUCUCUGACAACUAUAUCUGGUCUGUUGGCCUUAAUUUCUCUAUCUGUGUGUAUCGGCAUAUCCCAGAGUAUGGUUGCUUUCUCGUUUUCUGUGACCUUUUCUGGUGUGUGCCUAUACCAUCUUUUUUCUGUUGUUAUUCCAUAAUGUUGGCAUAGCUUCCAAUGUAUGUAGGUUCCAACUCUGUCAUGUCUGUGAAUAUAUUCCUUCUUAGCCAGGACUGGGCAGCUAGAGAUAAUAUAAUUUAUUGUUUCUUGUCCAUCUCCACAUAUUCUGCAGUUACUUGUAAUAUUUCUUUUCAUUACAUGUUUUUGGUAAUUUCUGGUGGGGAGGCUUUGGUCUUGUGCUGCAAUUAAAAAUCCCUCUGUUUCUGCUUUGAGUCCUGAGCUUCUCAACCAUUGCUGGGAUUUUUCUUUGUCUAUUUCUUUUGCGUUUAGUUUAGUCCAGUAUUUACCAUGAAGGGGCUUUUCUUGCCAUCGUUUUAUCAUGGUUCGUUGCUGUUCUAUUUUUAGUUUGGAUUUCAUUUGUUUUAUAGCUUUUGUUGUUUCUUCAUCUUCCUCUUCUUCUUCAUGUUUAUUAGGUGGUAUGAUUUCUUGUUUGUAUUUGUCAGCUUCCUUAAAUACUGAGAACAGUUUUUUGUUUUGCUCGUGUUUUGCCGCUAUCUGGAUCAGUUUUCCUUCCUUCUGAAGUAGAUAUUUUUGCAGUCCUAUGGUGGUUAUUUUAUAGUAGUUUUCCAGCUGUAUAAGGCCUCUACCACCUUCUAUACGUUGUAUAUAUAGUCUUUCUAUGUCAGAUUUUGGGUGAUGCAUCCUAGAUCCUGUCAGUAUUUUUCUUGUUUUCCUAUCUAUUUUGGACAGUUCAUUUCGUGUCCAGUUAAGGAUAUUGUAGCUGUAACUUAUAACUGGGACAGCUAAAGUGUUGAUACCUAUUAUCUUGUUUUUAGCAUUGAGCUCUGUGUUUAGUAUUGAUCUAACUCGUCUAUAAUAUUCUUGUUUUAUUUUCUCUUUCAUUUGUGUGUGUUGUGUCUUAUCUAGUUCAUGGAUUCCUAAGUAUUUGUAAGUUUGGCUUUGGUCUAAUUCUUUUAUUUCAUUGGUUUUAUCUAGUGUGAUGUUGUUACUCUUAACUAGUUUUCCUCUUUUCAUGGUUACUUUGGCGCAUUUUUCUAAUCCAAAUUUCAUAUCUAUUUCUUUGGUAAAUCCAUGAACUGUCUUUAAUAGUGUUUCCAGCUGUUUGUCAUUUGCAGCGUAUAGUUUUAGGUCAUCCAUAUAUAAAAGGUGGCUGAUCGUUUUGCCGUAACAUUUAUAUCCGCAUCCAGUUCUAUUUAGCAUAUCAGAUAGAGGUGACAGUGCCAAGCAGAAAAGGAGUGGAGAGAGCGUGUCUCCCUGGAAUAUUCCUCUUCUAAUGGGGAUGUCUUUGGUUUUCAUGAGUCCCUCUUUUGUUUGGAGGUGUAGGACUGUUUGCCAUUUAUUCAUAGAGUGCUCUAUGAAUUUUAUGAUUGUUGGUGCUACUUUGUUAAUGGCUAGUGUUUCGAGGAUCCAUGUGUGGGGGAUGCUAUCAAACGCCUUUUUGUAGUCAAUCCAGGCCAUACUGAGGCCUUUCUUCUUUCUGUGGCUGUCUUCAGUUAUGGCUUUAUUAAUCAUUAGUUGAUCUUUACAGCCAUAUGAGCCUUUGCGGCAUCCUUUCUGCUCUUCUGGGAACAGUUUGUUUUCGUCCAGGUGCUUGUUCAGCCUUUGUGAUAUCACUGCAGUAAAUGCCUUGAACAUAGUAGGGAGGCAGGUUAUUGGUCUGUAGUUUUCUGGUUUUUCUGUUUCAUUUGAUUUGAGAAUUAAGAUGGUUUUCCCCUUCGUGAGCCAUUCAGGCAUUGUCUCUGGCUCUGCUAGUACGUUGUUAAAGUUUUCAGCCAGCUUUUUGUGCAUUCCUGUUAGAUAUUUCAACCAGAAGUUGGGGAUCUUGUCAUGCCCAGGUGCCUUCCAGUUGCUUAGUCUUUGCAGUGCCUGGGUGACCUCUUCAGUUGUUAUGGGGGUCCAAAGUUGUUCAGAUGCCGAGUUUGUUAUUUUGAUACUCCUUUUUUUUGGUGGUUCGUUCGCCGACCAUAUUUCUCCCCAGAAUUCUUCCAAUUCUUCUGCCGUUGGUGCUGCAGUGACUUCUAUUUUAUUUUUGCCCAGUUCUUGGUAGAACUUUUUGGGGUUGGAGUUGAACUUUUUGUUUUCUUCAAAGAAGCGUUGGCGUUUCUUGUACCGGCGGAUCCUUUGUGCUUUGGCAAGGAUAUCUUGCUUCAGCUUUUCUUUUAUUUCAGGCAAAUCUUUCUCUGUGAUGUUAUAUUUGCGGAGUAUUUUUGUUCUCUUUUUGUUGCUCAGUAGCGUUGAUUGUUUGCUGAUUUCAUUAAGAAUCGACAGGUCUUUUCUAAUUUUUUUUAUUUUGCUUUGGAUGUUAUUUAUCCACAGGGUUUGUUUGGGUGGUGGUACUCCUGUUUGGGCGGGUUUGGGUGAGUAUCCAGCUUCUUUCGUGGCUGCAGUGGCUGCUGCGUAUAUUAGGUUAUUUAGCUCAGUGAUAUCACUUUUUUUUUAUUCAGUGGCUAUCAGUUCAGUGACGGCUAGGUUUAUGCUGUUUAUAAUAGGUGUUGUUAUUUUGAUUCUUGGGAGGUAUGGUCGGUGGUCCAUUUUGAGCUCUGUGGUUUUCAGUUCUUUGAUUAUUUUAUUUUUUAUAUUAUCAUAAUCAUUAGGCUCCCCUUCGUUGUUUACAUCGUGUUUGUUGGGAAUGUUGCGUUUGUCUUCGUGUUUUACAGUUUCAGUGUUUAUAUUAUUGGGCAUUGUAGUGUGGCUUCUAUCUACAUUUUCCUGGUGUAUGUUUUCUUUUAGGUGUUCUAUUUCUAUUUCUGAUAUUUUUUUGUGUUGAGAAUGUAUCUUCGUACGUUAGCUAAUUUAUUAGGGUUCAUUGCUGUAUCCAAGUCUAUAUCUCUAUUAUUUUCCUUCCAUAUUUUAUAUGUAUGUGUUGUUGUAUUUUCAUUUUUGGGGUAGAGUACUGCUGUGAAGUAUGCGUGUAAGAUAGAAAUGUAUUCCUCACGUGUCCAUUUACGUCUUUUGGGUUUUAUUUGCGGGACAUGAGGUACAACGUCCGGCCCAUUAUUUUGACGGUCGUCAUUUUCAUAGGGUGCCGGUCCGUUUAUUUCUGUUGUCACAUUAUUUCGCACGUGUAGUUUUUCGUACAUUUUUUGUUGUAAGUUUAAUGUACGUACCGCUCGAUUGUUAUUCUUGAGUUGAAUAGUAUCGGUGGCAUUUAAUUUCUUCGUAGUUCCUUUGUACAUGGUGUUUGGGGUCGGGGAUGAUCUUGAUGUUCUACGCAUGUUUACAUGUGUUGCGUUGGAGAUGAUAUCGAGUCAAAAUACAUCAUUUCGUUUCGAAAAUAGUAAUAAAUUUCAAUUAGUAUUACUUACUCGGAUACAGUCCAAUUCUUUGUUAGUAAAACUUUGGCUCCAUAGGAUGUCCUUGUUUUCGAUGUUUGUGGAUAGAUUUCGGAGCUCUGAAUUUUCCUUCUUACAUCUUAAACGUCCCCGGUGUUCUCAACGGUUAUUAUUAUUAUUAUUAUUAUUAUUAUUAUCAUUAUCGUUAUUAUUAUUAUUAUUAUUAUUAUUAUUAUUAUUAUUAUUAUUAUUAUUAUUAUUAUUAUUAUUAUUAUUAUUAUUAUUAUUUUAGGUUUUAACUUCUAUAUUGCUUUUUAUUUCAAUCAUUUCCCCCUGGGUCUCUCGCAUCUUUCUUCCUCUCUCUGUCUUUCAUUCAUACAGUCUGUCACUGACCUGGGUCUUGUUUUCUAUCAAACUCUAAACAACGAUUUGAACUCAUGAAGCACUCCGUAAUUAAACAGUGCUCCCACUGCCAACCUUAAUAAAUCUUUUAACAAUGAUCUAUCUUUUGUGUUAAUUUUUUGAUUUUUCUCCUUUUCAUUUACUGCAGAUCCGUAACAUCAGGACCUUAAAAAUGGGUCCAGUUAAGGAGGAUGAGAGAACAAAGAAGGUUUGAUGAUUAAGGGACGUUGCUUGGCUGACAGAAAUGGUCUUCCUUGGAGAACCAAAGAAAAUUAACUCC